rnacentral:rRNA from 1 species
GAUGAACGCUGGCGGCGUGCCUAAUACAUGCAAGUCGAGCGAACAGACGAGGAGCUUGCUCCUCUGACGUUAGCGGCGGACGGGUGAGUAACACGUGGAUAACCUACCUAUAAGACUGGGAUAACUUCGGGAAGCCGGAUCUAAGACCGGAUAAUAUAUUGAACCGCAUGGUUCAAUAGUUAAAGAAGGUUUUGCUUUCACUUAUAGAUGGAUCCGCGCCGCAUUAGCUAGUUGGUAAGGUAACGGCUUACCAAGGCAACGAUGCGUAGCCGACCUGAGAGGGUGAUCGGACACACUGUAACAGAGACACGGUCCAGACUCCUACGGGAGGACACAGCAGGGAAUCCUCCGCAAUGCGCGAAAGCCUGACGGAGGACAGUCGGCUGAGUGAUGAUGGUCUUCUGCUCGUAAAACUCUGUUAGUAGGGAAGUUCAAAAGUGUAAGUACCUAUGCACGUCUUGACGGUACCUAAUCAGAAAGCCACGGCUAACUCCGUG